rnacentral:rRNA from 1 species
GAUGAACGCUAGCUACAGGCUUAACACAUGCAAGUCGAGGGGCAGCAUGAGGUCAGCUUGCUGACUUUGAUGGCGACCGGCGCACGGGUGAGUAACGCGUAUCCAACCUUCCCCUGUCUCGGGCAUAACCCGGUGAAAACCGGACUAACUCCCGAUGUUGUUCCUUGACGGCAUCAGAUUGGAACCAAAGAUUUAUCGGACAGGGAUGGGGAUGCGUCUGAUUAGGUAGUUGGUGAGGUAACGGCCCACCAAGCCUUCGAUCAGUAGGGGUUCUGAGAGGAAGGUCCCCCACAUUGGAACUGAGACACGGUCCAAACUCCUACGGGAGGCAGCAGUGAGGAAUAUUGGUCAAUGGGCGAGAGCCUGAACCAGCCAAGUAGCGUGCAGGAUGACGGCCCUAUGGGUUGUAAACUGCUUUUAUACGGGGAUAAAGUUGGGGACGUGUCCCCAUUUGUAGGUACCGUAUGAAUAAGGACCGGCUAAUUCCGUGCCAGCAGCCGCCGUAAAAC